rnacentral:tRNA from 1 species
GGGCCGUUAGCUUAGUUGGUAGAGCGCCUGCUUUGCAAGCAGGAGGUCAGGAGUUCGAAUCUCCUACGGUCCACCG